rfam:Dipodomys ordii contig_54580, whole genome shotgun sequence.
GGUGGCUCAGUGAUAGAGCACUUGCCUUGCAUGCAUGAGGCCCUGGGUUCGAUUCCUUAGCACCA